rnacentral:rRNA from 1 species
GACGAACGCUGGCGGCGUGCCUAACACAUGCAAGUCGAACGGAGUUACGUUUUUCACUUAAGUCUGGCGAAGUUGUCAGGCUUAAGGAGAGCGUAAACUUAGUGGCGGACGGGUGAGUAACGCGUGAGCAACCUGCCUUCUUGAGGGGAAUAAACGUCUGGAAACGGACGCUAAUACCGCAUAACAUCUGACAGUCGCACGGCAGUCAGAUCAAAGGAGCAAUCCGCAGGAAGAUGGCUCGCGUCCGAUUAGCCAGUUGGCGGGGUAACGGCCCACCAAAGCGACGAUCGGUAGCCGGACUGAGAGGUUGAACGGCCACAUUGGGACUGAGACACGGCCCAGACUCCUACGGGAGGCAGCAGUGGGGGAUAUUGCACAAUGGGGAAACCCUGAUGCAGCAACGCCGCGUGAGGGAAGAAGGUUUUCGGAUUGUAAACCUCUGUCCUCAGGGAGAAAAUGACGGUACCUGAGGAGGAAGCUCCGGCUAACUACGUGCCAGCCGCCGCA